UACGAAGGGGGCUAGCGUUGCUCGGAAUCACUGGGCGUAAAGGGUGCGUAGGCGGGUCUUUAAGUCAGGGGUGAAAUCCUGGAGCUCAACUCCAGAACUGCCUUCGAUACUGGCGAUCUUGAGUCUGGGAGAGGUGAGUGGAACUCCGAGUGUAGAGGUGAAAUUCGUAGAUAUUCGGAAGAACACCAGUGGCGAAGGCGGCUCACUGGCCCGGUACUGACGCUGAGGUGGCGAAAGCGUGGGGAGCAAACAGG
rnacentral:rRNA from 1 species